UGUAGAAGUCGGUUCUUUUCAUCCUUUCCCAGCAGCAGGGUGAGUUCUUCAAACAGCCCCGUAAGCUGUUGGGUGAUGGACAGGUGAUGCCAGGAGACAGGGUGUGAUGAAGUAGCAUUCAGCUUGGUGGCCACAGCAACCUUGACUUUAACAGGCAGGUAGAUGGUGACUAAAACUGCAGGAAGGCUUCUCCUGAAGGACACUGGAGUUCAGAGGACAGCAGAUGUGACUGCCAGUCAAUGCCAGACACUGCUCUUCUUGGGAAGCCCAGCGUGCUGAGCGAACAUGCUUCACGAGUGACUUACUGUGUGUCUUUGCAGUUGGUUGUGAAGCUUCCUCUAGCCCGGGACUGCAUUUCAUCAAGUGGUUCAUUUGUAUCUUUCCUCACCUUCUUUCCAUUUUUUCCCUUACCCUCACUGUCCUGGGCUUGUAUCUUUCUCUCAUAUAAAGUGGCAGCACUUCAGGGGUUCUCGUGGUGGCUCAGUGGGUUCAGAACCUGACAUGG